UACGUAGGGGGCAAGCGUUGUCCGGAUUUAUUGGGCGUAAAGAGCGUGUAGGCGGCCAAACAGGUCCACUGUGAAAACUCGAGGCUCAACCUCGAGACGUCGGUGGAAACCGUCUGGCUAGAGUCCGGAAGAGGAGAGUGGAAUUCCCGGUGUAGCGGUGAAAUGCGUAGAUAUCGGAAGGAACACCAGUGGCGAAAGCGGCUUCCUGGUCCAGCACCGACGUUCAGGCACGAAGCGUGGGGAGCAAACAGG
rnacentral:rRNA from 1 species